CCCAGGAGCAUGGAGGGAAGCACCUCCCUAAAGCUGAGGUACUGAGUGCAGGAUCUGCCUUCUGUCGAGAUGCAUGUCACUUCCCAGGCUGCUGCCUCAGCUUCUCUAGGGGCCAGGUAGGGGCCAGACCAAUGGCCUAAAGCCUCCUUUGCUGAACUCUGUGGCCAGCUGCUGCUUCUGCAAGCAAUGGACAGCGACUCUAACUAAAGCUGGAAGAUGGAGGUUAGAAAAAGAUAAUGAAGGCAACAUGGGGAAAGACGAGCAAUGAACUUCAUUUCCCCUGGGAUAAUUGAGAUGUUUAUAUGUCAAAUACAGCAUCGGGCACAAAGGCAGGACUCAGAAGCUUCCAGUUCUUUUCUCUCCCAAAGGGAAGCGCAUGAGCGCGGGGAAUUAUAUCUCCCCGUUGUGCCUAGAGCGUGAUGCUAUGCCUCCAGGUGGGCUUCCAGACUUCAAAAAAUGGGCAGUGACAUAGUCUGGUUCCAGCUGAUUGGGUGACUCAGAGCCGUUAAAAGAAAGAGUAACUUGGGGGCAGUACUGGUUGCUGCCAUUGUGGGGUGCUGCGUGCACUCUCUCCUGGGAGGGAUCUUCCCUGUUCACAGGUGAGGAAUCUGCGGCCUUGAGAGACUAGAUGUCAUGUCCGAGGUCUCACAGCUGGGAAGUGAUACAGAACAGGAUUUGAACUCGGCAUGCAAGAAAUAUGUCAACAACUACAGUCCGUGUACAACCGCUCUGGCCUGUACUAUUGGAGAUGGCUACCUCUGGGCCCGUUUCCUUACCUGUAAAAUGGAGCUGGCGAAUGCCGACUCAUCCUGUGAGAUGUAGAGACGACAUCAGUUGAGUGCCUGGCCCAGUGCCCACCU